rnacentral:rRNA from 1 species
AGGACGAACGCUGGCGGCGUGCUUAACACAUGCAAGUCACGGGGGCCCGUAGCAAUACGGGCAACCGGCGAACGGGUGCGUAACACGUGAGCAAUCUGCCGAUCUCUGGGGGAUAGCCAGCCUAACGGCUGGGUAAUACCGCAUACGCUCGUUGGGGGGAGUCCCCUGAUGAGGAAACCUCUGGGGGAGAUCGAGGAGCUCGCGACCUAUCAGCUAGUUGGCGGGUAACGGCCCACCAAGGCAGCGACGGGUAGCUGGUCUGAGAGGAUGGCCAGCCACAUUGGGACUGCGACACGGCCCCAGACUCCUACGGGAGGCAGCAGUGGGGAAUAUUGCGCAAUGGACGAAAGUCUGACGCAGCGACGCCGCGUGUGGGAUGAAGCCUUUCGGGGUGUAAACCACUGUUGCCCGGGACGAAACUCCUCUUUCGAGAGGAUUGACGGUACCGGGUGAGGAAGCACCGGCUAACUCUGCGCCAGCAGCCGCGGU